AAUUUGUCUGCAAUUUUUCUGCAAUCAUCUAUCUGAUUUAUUCUUCAAGAGCAGAUGGUCGAGCCCAACCUGCCGCCCGGGGUCUAAAACCAAAUCGUUUUUCUAAAUUUCCAAAAAUUGGUUGCCGGCCACUUUUUUGACCAAAUUAGAUUAUUUUUAUUAUAAGCCUCGUGACAGACAAAAAGGCUUAGUCUUAAUAUCUUCGGUGACACAAUAGGGACAACACGACAUAUAUAGGUUAAACCAUCGUUUGAAUUUAUUGGGUAGACACAAACGUGAAUUUGAAUCCUUCAGGAUUGUAAAGAGUAAAAUCGAUAGAACAGGAAAAUAUAGAAGAAUCGAAAAGUAUGUUGAUGUUUUGGACAAUUUUUGGAUGGCUUUAUUUUCUGGAGCGCAUCUCUUUUUUCUCCAGAUAUAUUCAUUAUUAUUGGAUUCUCAAAAUGGUUUUUCUGUUCCUUUGUUUCGUACCAAUACCAAAUAAUUUAUCCGAUUACUUCAUUCAGACCAUUGAUAAUGUUAAAACAUAUUAAAAUGAUGCGGAUAAAAACGCUGCUACGCGGAAAACCUCUUCGGAGUCUCAAGAAUUUUUGUUUAAAAUUUAAGAAAUAAGAAUAAAAUAUGAGUAAAAAUA
rnacentral:lncRNA from 1 species